UACCCAGCCCCCUGAAGCUCAGUGACCAUGCAGAGACCAAAGGUUGCAGGGGUGAUGCAGCUACUGGGAGAAGGGAAACAGGCCUCCUGGAGCCUCACUCAUGGGAUGUGAUUCCUCCGGAGACAGUGUGCUAGGUUCUGAGACAAAUAUCCUGAAGUUUUGUGCUAAAUGAAUGGAGGGUGCAAUAUUGUAAUUUGUAAGAAAUUAUUUGGUCAUUCAGGAAAUACACCUCCAUAAACAUAUGUAAAUUUCCCAAGUGUUGAGAGUGAAAGAGGUGUGUUGUUAGAGCAAUAAAGUAACUUUCGGAAAGCACCUCAGGAUGGGCUGGUUGCCAAUGAAGCCAACCCAGUGGCCCUCACGGUUAGAACUUUCUGUUCCUUCCCCACUUACCAUACCUAACCAUGCCCACCUCCAACCUCCUCCAGGGAGGAGAGAGGGGCUGGAGGUUGAAUCAAUUGACAGUGAUUGAAUCAACAGUGCCUGUGUAAUGAAGCCUCCAAAAAACCACGAGGAUGAGUUCAGAGAGCUCCGGGAUGGUGAACGUGUGGAGACUUGGGGAGAGCAGUGCACCUGGAGAGAGCUGGGAGCUCUGUGCCCAUUCCCACAUAUCUUGCCCAAUCUAUAACAGGUUGGUCAGAGCACAGACAUGAUCUUUGGACACGAGGACAAUGGCAUCCUAAGCAUCUGAGAAAAGGCAACUAAGAUGCUAUUUGGAAAGAUAUGAUGAAAGCCAAGCAAACUCAAGAGGCAGAGAAGAUAAUGAAAAGAAGGACAGGGCAGAGAAAGUACAAAGAAGAAGAAACUCCUUUGCAAAUAUGUGAUUGUUUGGAGGCUUCUAAAAGCUAAAGGCCAUAGUCCAGGCAAGACCAUUAUCAAAAUCUCUUAAAAUCCUAUAUAAUAAAAGCC